rnacentral:rRNA from 1 species
UAAUACGGAGGGCGCAAGCGUUGUUCGGAAUUAUUGGGCGUAAAGCGCGUGUAGGCGGCUUGGUAAGUCGGAUGUGAAAGUCCGGGGCUCAACCCCGGAAUUGCAUUCGAAACUGCCUCGCUAGAGUCUCGGAGAGGAGGGCGGAAUUCCCGGUGUAGAGGUGAAAUUCGUAGAUAUCGGGAGGAACACCAGUGGCGAAGGCGGCCCUCUGGACGAUGACUGACGCUCAGACGCGAAAGCGUGGGGAGCAAACAGGAUUAGAUACCCUGGUAGUCCACGCCGUAAACGUUGGGUGCUAGGUGUCGCGGGUAUUGACCCCUGCGGUGCCGGCGUUAACGCAUUUAGCACCCCGCCUGGGGAGUACGGUCGCAAGACUA